rnacentral:misc_RNA from 1 species
UGGCUCUCGCAUCGAUGAAGAACGCAGCGAAAUGCGAUAAGUAAUGUGAAUUGCAGAAUUCAGUGAAUCAUCGAAUCUUUGAACGCAUCUUGCGCUCCUUGGUAUUCCGAGGAGCAUGCCUGUUUGAGUGUCAUGAAUAUCUCAAUCUUGCCCACAUUUUGUGGUCAGAUUGGACUUGGGAGCUGCCGGUGUACAAGUCGGCUCUCCUGAAAUGCAUGACUGUACCACUCUCCAAUAUACUGUCCGGUGUGAUAAUUUCUAUGCCGCAUGGUCAACAAUGAGUGUUACCCAAUUCAUUUGGAGUGUUACCUCAUUGGAGAAUCCGCUCACAAAACGUCUAUUGCAGACAACUAUAUAUGACAUCUGACCUCAAAUCAGGUAGGACUACCCGCUGA